GACGAACGCUGGCGGCGUGCUUAACACAUGCAAGUCGAACGGAAAGGCACUGCUUUUGUGGGGUGCUCGAGUGGCGAACGGGUGAGUAACACGUGAGUAACCUGCCCUUGACUUUGGGAUAACUUCAGGAAACUGGGGCUAAUACCGGAUAGGAGCUCCUGCUGCAUGGUGGGGGUUGGAAAGUUUCGGCGGUUGGGGAUGGACUCGCGGCUUAUCAGCUUGUUGGUGGGGUAGUGGCAUACCAAGGCUUUGACGGGUAGCCGGCCUGAGAGGGUGACCGGCCACAUUGGGACUGAGAUACGGCCCAGACUCCAACGGGAGGCAGAAGUGGGGAAUAUUGCACAAUGGGCGGAAGCCUGAUGCAGCAACGCCGCGUGCGGGAUGACGGCCUUCGGGUUGUAAACCGCUUUCGCCUGUGACGAAGCGUGAGUGACGGUAAUGGGUAAAGAAGCACCGGCUAACUACGUG
rnacentral:rRNA from 1 species